UCCUCCUCUUCUGUUCCAUCUUCUCCAAAUAGCUCUAAUUCUGAUACCAAUGGUAAUCCCAAGAAUGGUGAUCUCGCCAAUAUUGAAGGCAUCUUGAAGAAUGAUCGAAUAGAUUGUUCUAUGAAAACAAGCAAAUCGAGUGCACCUGGGAUGACAAAAAGUCAUAGUGGUGUGACAAAAUUUAGUGGCAUGGUUCUACUGUGUAAAGUCUGUGGGGAUGUGGCGUCAGGAUUCCACUAUGGAGUUCAUGCUUGCGAAGGCUGUAAGGGUUUCUUUCGGAGAAGUAUUCAACAAAACAUCCAGUACAAGAAGUGCCUGAAGAAUGAAAACUGUUCUAUAAUGAGAAUGAAUAGGAACAGAUGUCAGCAAUGUCGCUUCAAAAAGUGUCUGUCUGUUGGAAUGUCAAGAGAUGACGUUAAAUAUCUUUUUCUUCAAUAGCUGUUCGGUUUGGUCGUAUUCCUAAGCGUGAAAAACAGAGGAUGCUAAUUGAAAUGCAAAGUGCAAUGAAGACCAUGAUGAACAGCCAGUUCAGUGGUCACUUGCAAAAUGACACAUUAGUAGAACAUCAUGAACAGACAGCCUUGCCAGCCCAGGAACAGCUGCGACCCAAGCCCCAACUGGAGCAAGAAAACAUCAAAAGCUCUUCUCCUCCAUCUUCUGAUUUUGCAAAGGAAGAAGUGAUUGGCAUGGUGACCAGAGCUCACAAGGAUACCUUUAUGUAUAAUCAAGAGCAGCAAGAAAACUCAGCUGAGAGCAUGCAGCCCCAGAGAGGAGAACGGAUUCCCAAGAACAUGGA
rnacentral:lncRNA from 1 species